GAUGAACGCUAGCGGCAGGCUUAACACAUGCAAGUCGAGGGGUAGAAGUUGCUUGCAACUUUGAGACCGGCGCACGGGUGCGUAACGCGUAUGCAAUCUACCUUAUACAGAGGGAUAGCCCAGAGAAAUUUGGAUUAAUACCUCAUAGUAUAAUUGAAUGGCAUCAUUUAAUUAUUAAAGUUCCAACGGUAUAAGAUGAGCAUGCGUCCUAUUAGCUAGAUGGUAAGGUAACGGCUUACCAUGGCAACGAUAGGUAGGGGUCCUGAGAGGGAGAUCCCCCACACUGGUACUGAGACACGGACCAGACUCCUACGGGAGGCAGCAGUGAGGAAUAUUGGACAAUGGGCGCAAGCCUGAUCCAGCCAUGCCGCGUGCAGGAAGAAGCAUCUAUGGUGUGUAAACUGCUUUUGUACGGGAAGAAACACCCCUUCGUGAAGGGACUUGACGGUACCGUAAGAAUAAGGAUCGGCUAACUCCGUGCCAGCCGCCGCUGUAACAC
rnacentral:rRNA from 1 species